rnacentral:lncRNA from 1 species
CGUCCUCGGACCUGCGGGUCUCCGAGCGGGCUCCUGGUCGCCCACCCCGGGGCGCCGGCCCCCGCUCUCCGCCUGCUCCCGUGGCCAUUGCGCCCGCUCUGGAGUAACACGUAUGCUACUUCGGGCGACUGUUGUCUUUGCAGGCCAGAGCCAUGUGGUUGUGCAGAAGUGCUGCGCCUUCCACGCCGCGGGUGUCGGGCUUUUUAGUAAGAUAGACCGGGCAGAACCGCCCCAACUCCACCAGGACGCGUGCGUCCCCUGCUCGGUCCUCCCCGCUCCGUUCCUCCUCUCUCCAGGAGGCGUUUGCCUGAGUUUACCCCUUAGAGCUCACGUUCCUGCCUGCUUUACUCCACCCCAGCUGGGCUUUCCCCAAUUGGCAGAUUGCUACUCUGGCUUUACUCUUGGGUGGUGCUGCCAUCAUUCUCAUUGCAUUCCUGGUGGGUUUGAUUUCUAUCUGCGUGGGAUCUCGAAGACGCUUCUACAGACCUGUUGCUGUCAUGCUUUUUGCAGCAGUUGUUUUACAGGUUUGCAGAGUGUGAGGAAGGAGAUGUAG